CAUAGAAUGGAGAAUCAUAGAGGUCACCUUAUGUCCAUUCUUACUAGUGAGUUCAGUUUUUCCUUUACUCACUGACAAAAGGUAGGUAGUCAAUCAAAAAUUCCUUCAGUCAGCAAACACUGAGUAAGAAACUUAUUACCUACUUAGCUCAUCUCGGGUCAAGUGCCCAUCUCUGAACCAUUCAAUUGUAAUGAGAAAGGUAAGGGUCAUGAUGUAUGAACUUAGCUUUGAUCAUCGCAAUUAGGAUGAGGAUGAGGGGAGGGGAGGGGACAUUUCUUAGGUGUUGCUAAGAAGCAGUUCCAUAGGUAUCCAAUGUAGCACACAUGGUGAUUUUUUUUUCAGAUAUCCAGAUGGAUGAAUUUUCUAUAAGGUUUCAAAGAUAACAUUUGUAUUCUCUGUCUGGUCUUGCAUUUGUAGUGGGUUCUCAAAAACAAUAGCAUUGUCUUCUCUCUAGUCUUCCUUCCCUUAAUGAUCUCAUCCAUUAUCAUGACAACAGAAAUUGUAACUCCUCCAUGUAUUUCUUGGGGAAGAUCUCUUUUCCUGGGCAUGAAAGCAUGAUGAAAAGUAUAUAGAUGAGGGUGUGAGAAGUGAAGAUUGGCAAAGGACAAAGUUCUGGGGAAGAACAAUAUUUGGUGCACCUUUUGUCAAUUGGUGAUAGCUGCCCAGAUCAUUUUAUUGUGAAGAAUUCUCAUUCUAUAUCUAGCCUCUGGAACAGUUGUAGGGGAAAGGGAGAGAGAUGAAGAUCAGUUGUGCCAUAUAUUUGAACCACUUAAUUGUCAUCUCAAAUGAAAAAGCUGUGUCGAGGGAGACAAGCUAGUAAAGGAGAUGGAUAUAGAAAAAUUAGGUAGAACAGAAUUAAAAUAAGGCCGGGUCAAGGAAAAACACUCUUAUGGCAUGAAGGAAGUUAAUGAUAUAACACCUAAAAGUCUAAAAGUGAUCAAGCAUGAUAAUGUCAAAUAAUAUGUCUUUUUGUAUUGGCAAGUAAGUCAUUGAAAAUAGCUUUUGUGGAGUAUUGAUUGUGCAAACCUACUACGAGAGGAUUGAGAAGCUAAUGGAUGAUAAGAAAAUGUAGACAACAAUUGUAGUCUAUUAAAGGAGCUGCCUGUAAGUGAGAAGGAGAGGCAGUGGCUAGACUGGUGUACAAAGUUCAGAAAGUUGUAAUUUUUAGCAAGACAGAGGCAAGCUAGAGAUGUUUCACAUCUGCUGAGUGAAAAAUGAACUAUAAUCUUUAUUAUGAGAUUGUAAUAGCUAAAAAAUUGGAAAUGACAUACAUACCCAUCAAUUUUUUUAAAGAUAAAUUUUGUAUAAUUAUAUAAGGAAAGUGGAUUAAUAAUACUUUUUAAGUUAGUUGGGAGGUAUUCAUUAUACCAGGUAAAUCUUUAUUCCUUUUGUUUGUCUGAAAUAGUUUGCUAUGAAUUAAAACAAUUAUUUUUUGUUUUUAAAAUAAGAUAAAAUAAAUCAAGUAUUUAUAAUUCUUAUAAGAAGAGAAGCAGUGAGCCACCUCUAUUCCUACCUGGAAUUCUACUUCUUAGAUGUCAACGUGUGCAAGUCUUAGUCUUGUUCUUUUAGAAUUUACCCCA
rnacentral:lncRNA from 1 species